UAUUAGAGCUGACAGGGUGACGGUUCAAUGGCGUCACUCCGCAUCCACCAUUUUUUCUUACUUGAUCAUCAUUGAUCCGAAUAUUAUAUUAAUAUUAACCUAGAUCGACUCACCUGUAUACAAUUUCAAACGCUGCAGGUUAAGCUGCGACAUGGUGCCCGGACCACUUCCGGUUUGACGACCCUCCUUGAUAUCGCAUCAAGGGAUGCUGCGUGAGAGACGCUUCUUGACGGACCUUCAGCAGCCCCUCCGGACGAAGAGUUCACCGGACCCUCCCAGAUUCCAGAUUUCUGCGACACCUAUGAAUAACCAUACAAUUAAAUCCUUGUAUAAAUUUCGCUAUGCAGUUUGGAUAAUCGUGCAAGAUAAAACGGUAUCACGGUAUAAA